CCUACGGGAGGCAGCAGUGAGGAAUAUUGGUCAAUGGGCGCGAGCCUGAACCAGCCAAGUAGCGUGAAGGAUGACUGCCCUACGGAUUGUAAACUUCUUUUAUAAAGGAAUAAAGUGAGGCACGUGUGCCUUUUUGUAUGUACUUUAUGAAUAAGGAUCGGCUAACUCCGUGCCAGCAGCCGCGGUAAUACGGAGGAUCCGAGCGUUAUCCGGAUUUAUUGGGUUUAAAGGGAGCGUAGAUGGGUUUUUAAGUCAGUGGUGAAAGUUUGCGGCUCAACCAUAAAAUUGCAAUUGAUACUGGCAGCCUUGAGUACAGUUGAGGUAGGCGGAAUGCGUGGUGUAGCGGUGAAAUGCUUAGUUAUCACGAAGAACCCCGAUUGCGAAGGCAGCUUACUAAGCUGCCACUGACAUUGAUGCUCGAAAGUGUGGGUAUCAAACAGGAUUAGAUACCCGUGUAGUC
rnacentral:rRNA from 1 species